rnacentral:lncRNA from 13 species
AUUUUUAUAACUUUCGAUUCGGCUUUCCUUCGCACUCGUUAAUCAACUAACAAUUCAUGUUUACUUUGAGAACGAAUUGAUUUUUGCACGAUAUGAAUUACAAAUAAUAUUUCCCGAUUUUACAACAGGCCCGUGUCGUCGAUUCAAGUCGAUUCGUGGCAAAGAGAUCCUAGCGCGCGCAAGUAGGCCCCCCUUCUUUCCAGAGCCCGGUCGGGGGGCCCCUAUGUGCACCUGUACAGGUUGAGAGGUGUUGUGUUUUCACCUGGCAGUUCAACCUACAAUCGCGAGCAGGAACGUUCCGCGGACGAGAUCAUCCGCUGUCUCAUUCGAAGAGAGUUCUCGGCAAAAAAAUCAAAUUUCAGAAAUUGACAUUCGAUAUUAAGAAAUCAGUCAAAGGUAAAAAAUGGAGGACAAUAAGAAGAUUUUGUUACAAAUUGAUUAACUUUUAUUAAAAUUAUUUUCUAUAAUAAAACGUAACCUUGAAAUAACAUACAUUUUUAUAAAACAAUCUGGCAACAGAAAUUAAGAAAUACUAUGUGAAUAAAUAUGUAACGCAAAGUAUCUUUGUAAUAAGGAUCAAAUCUAAUAAUAUACAAUAAUUAAAAAGGAAAUUAUUAUAUAAUAAUGUUGUAAUUUAUUCAACUAAUCUAACUUUAUAGUUACAAAACUUUUACAAUCUUGAUUAAAGAUUAAAUUUCUUUAUAAAUUGACGCUACAUAAAAGUGUAACACUAUUUUUAAGUGUUAUUAAACACGUAGUGUUUAAAAUAUUGCUGAAAAUAACAAAAAAAA